CAUGCUUGAUUCUUGAUUUAUUACAACAAGAUCUUUUCUAAGAAUAUUCAUUUUUUUGGGUCAUUGCGGUGAUUUGAACUAUUUUCGUGAAAAUCUUUAUCUGUGUAAUCAAAAUUAUCCGGAGUAAAAUCCACAACUUGAUGACUUGCAGGAACAACUUUUUGUGUUUGAUUUGGGAAAUUCUCAAAUUGAAUGAGAGUGAAUUUUCAUUAACCAUUGAAGAUCAAACAAAUUAACAAAACAAAUAUUAAAGCGUAUAUGAAUAUUGAUCUGUGUUGUUAAAUAUUAACUUAAAAUGCACUUAAAGAAUUAACUCACCUCUUUGAAAUAACUGAAAAAUUUUGAAAUUUAAAGAAGUAAAUUGUCGAUUUGAAGAAGUUACAGUAAUGGAGAAGGAAGUUGUCUCAACUGAUGAUAAUUUAGGAGAUAUUUUAGGGGAGAAAAUUUUUGAAAAAAAAAAAGUGGGUUGCAUGCGUUAAUGGUGGAGUAAAACACAGUUGAGAGAUUUUGUUCAUAUGUAUAAAGAGUGAAAAAUUAAAUCUGAAAUUUUAUAUAAUUGUUUAAAAAGUAAGAAAUUUUGAAUAAUAAAAUGAAAAAAGGACAAAAAUAACACCUAAAAUUAAAAUAAUACCAUAAAAAUAACACUGACAAUUAAAUACUCACUAAAUAGCACUCCCAAUAUAAACCGUGUAUCAUUUCAUCUUCUUCUCCCCACUUUUCUCCAUUCCAACCAUACAAUGGAUUCCACAUAGAAAUUAGAAAAAAUAAAAUUCAACCAAUCAUCCCAAUUUUCAAUCUCAGAUAUCAAAAUUUAAAUCUUCGUCAAAUUCAACAAAAAAAAUUAACAGAAAAAAUUAAAAAAAUCCAUUACCAAAAUCUACAAAUACACAAUUUUUCAGUAAAAAAAAAAAAAAAAAGUUACCUAAUUUUUGAGAAUCUACGAGAUUCAAAUCAUGAUAGACGAUUGAGUUCUCUUUAUAGAGAAUCAUCUUUUUGUUUUCUUCUUUUGUACGGGCUUGUUUCUACCCACAUCAAUUAAAUUUUAUUUUAUCAAAAUGUUAAAAGAGGUACCCCUAGAAACAGAUUCUCAUUACUCGGAUAUCUUUCUACUUGGUCGUGAAUAGAGGGGUCUGCGAAUGCAAGUAAGCUGAAACCAUGGGCCAAUACCCUUGGCAUGUAAUUUAUCUACUGUAUUCAUUUUUAUUGUUUAUUGUUUUUUUUUUUUUUCUCCGUUCAGGUUCUACCGGAGCUCUAAUGGGUGUAGUUUUGUAUUUGUGAAUUGUAAAAGGUGUAUUUAUAUGGUAUAUAUACUGUAUCAAUGUGGUAUAAAAGUGUAUCAAUAUGGUAUCAAUGUGUAUCAAUGUAGUAUAAAAGUGUAUUAAUGUGGUAUAAAAGAGUAUCAAUUGAAUAUAGGGACUGCAUUGCUUGCAUAGAAUUUCCUUUUAACUUUUUAAAAAGUGUAUCAAUUGAGUGUAGAGACUGCAUGUGCCCAAUUGGGUCAAAUGACUAAAAAAGAAAAUUACUUUAGCUGACUGGCUACAGUAUGUCCACCUUUUCAAUUAUGGACCAUUUUUUUAAAGUGGUCAUGUC
rnacentral:lncRNA from 1 species